GACGUAGGAGGCGAGCGUUAUCCGGAUUCAUUGGGCGUAAAGGGCAAGUAGGCGGUUGUCAAAGUUGGGCGUGACAUCUCCUGGCUCAACUAGGAGAGGUCGUUCAAAACUAGGCAACUAGAGGGCAGAAGAGGAAAGCGGAACUCCUGAUGUAGCGGUGGAAUGCUCAGAUAUCAGGAAGAACACCAGUGGCGAAGGCGGCUUUCUGGUCUGCACCUGACGCUGAGAGGCGAAGGCCAGGGUAGCGAACGGG
rnacentral:rRNA from 1 species